UGCUCAGUGCAGAUGGAAUCUUCAGAGGUUCAGCAGAAGUCCCUAACAUGCUCUGAGCAUAUGCAAAUGGCAAUUUUUAGUGGCUUAUAACUUGGACAUAUGUAGGUAUAUUUUCAUAAGCAAAGCAAAAAGGACCUCCCGACACCACGACUAUGUCCCUCACAAAUUUCAAUUCCAAAUCCCGAGCUCUUCAAAUAAUAUUUUAUGUAUACACUAAACACUGCAAAACGUACCUAUUUCCCUCUAACCCCAUUUCUGGAAAUAGCUGGAAGCUAGUUUAAGCAAAGAGGCAGAGAGCAAGCAUAGAAAGUUCCAGCAAAAAUGAUUGUGUGGCAAAGUUUAAGCAACCAAAGACAGUGGUUUAUAACAAAAUAUCACACAAUCUUAACAUUAGGCUCAGUAAUGAUGUCCUCGUCUGGGGAAGGAUUUGAUCAUAUCCUUAAAUUCCUGGGUUAAUUGUGGUGUGAGGAGUCUUUGGGUAGUUUAUAGCAGGUAGUAUUGGAGUGGUGGUGUUUGCCCUCAUUAAUGUAAACUCACGUUUGAGAACUAUGAUGGCACCCCUCUUUAUCUGCUGGUUUGAUCACUAGCUGGUGGUUGAUUUUAGGGACUCCUCUCAGCAGUGGAGCAACUGUGCUGGAUGUGAUAUUUGUUAAGGAUUUCACUGUUCAUUUUUUCCCCUGAAGUAAUCAAUGUAAUGAUCAAAUGUGUGGCUUUUUCCACUGUGGGAUGUCCAGGAAGAUGAUUCUUUUUUCUUAUGAUUGUCGGUGGGGACGUAGCAGUUGUGGGUGACAAAUACAUUGUUGUGAAAGAAUUCUUCAAAGCAGAGUUGGUACAAGAAUCUUCUAGUUCUCCAUCUGUUAGUAUGGUAUCAGGUUCUGCGCAGCAGUUCAAUCCCUGGGACAGUACAGAUAAUUCAGCUCUGGUUAGGAGUAGUCUUGACAAAUUGAUGAUGCUGGGGUAUGCGUAGUGUCCAUAUGGUAAGGUCUUUGUGUCAUAGUUUCUCCUGGGGAUGGUGUUCUGGGGAUUGUAGUUAGUUCCACUUUUUGAUUCUGGGUUGAAUGGCUGUCAGAUUUUGUUUUGUUUUGUUUGUUUUUAAAAAUAGUUGUUUUGGAUUUCUUGAAUGAUCUCCAGGUAGAUUUCCUGAUUUUUUCCUUCCAGUGCGUGGGACUUUAUGACGACUUUUUGUCUGAGGUGGCUCCCGUUUUGAGAACUUUGAGGUACAGAAAAUAGUUCCUCGGUUUUUCUGAAGUCCUCCUUCAGAGCUGUUUGUUUUGUUGUGCCCACAUUGGCCACAGGAUAUUACAAAGAUACGGUGGGUGAAGCAAUACCUUUUACUGGACCAACUUUUACUGGGGAAAGAGACAAGCUUUCAAGCUACACAGAGCUCUUCAUGUUUGGGAAAGGUACUCAGCAAGCUAAUGGUUGAUAAAAGUUUAUACAAACAUAUAGAGCGAUGUUUAAAAAAGUAUAAAUAUCUGCAAACAGCAAUAUUUCUAAAAAAAUCCUAUUAGCAGCACCAGGCAGCUGGCGUAAGGUAGAGGGGUUUGGGUUUUAUUAUGGAGGAUGCACGGGGAGUGUUGGCAAAGGAGAUGAACUGAUGAAUGGGAGCACUGGUAGGAAACUGGGAGAGAAAAAAAAGUCAAGAAGCGGGAGUUCAUGGCAUAGGAGACCAUGGAGCCACUCUCUCUAGUCUGACAAUGGGAGAAGAGGCAAAAGUUAUGGAUAGUAUACUAGGAGAGUCUUUUCUAUAAUAGAAAUUUAAGUGUUUGAAAAAAUUCAAGUGCUUAAAAAUUUACAGCUGGAUAUAAAACUACCUCUUCCACCCCAAACAAAUUCAAUUCCCAUCCUCCCAUAGGCUUAUUUAAGUCUGCAGGAGUGGCUCCCUGCUUCAGUGAGCCUCACCGUGUGUUUGCAAGGGUAGCCAAUGCAGCUCUUUUACAGUUCAAGUGCAGCUCACAGAGACCAUCAUGCCCCCAACCCCCAUUCUUUGGAAGCUCGUGGCUUCUACCCUGCGGAGGGAAGGUGAGGCUAGGGGCUUCUGCCCAAUGGGGAGGAGGGGGUCUCAGGGCUGAAGGCCCAGCAAAUGCCUCCCACGGGGCAGAAUUCUCUAGCGCCACCAUCCCGCUGCAGAGCACAAGCUCUGCAGGGCUGAAGCUCUGGACCCUGACAGGCACGCCUGACUCUCAAACUUCUGAAGAUUAUUGUAUGUGGCUCAGAGGGUUGGUAAGUUUGGCCUGGUGUAUUCAAGAGGGUUCCCCUUCUGCAGACCUUAAUGAAAAUUUGAACUUCUGGCGCUCCUUGAAAAGACAAAGGAAACACCACAAAAGAAAAAGUAUUCUAAAAAAGAGUUAAGCUUGAGAGCAUAUUACAUUAUUGUCCAGCUAAAAGCCCUCCCAAAUUACACUUUGACAAGGAGUCUACAGCUUCAGAAAAAAAAUAUUAGAAGCCAUAGUAAUUAACAGCUUAGGGAUCCAGUAUAGUAGGAGUUGGGCGUGAUGGGCUACUUAAGUACAGGCAGCCAUGUGGCCUAGCAACCUUCGGCAAGUGCAAGUGGUGCUGAGCAGGUGGCCCCUUACAUGGGAAGUUACGUCUGACAUGGCUCAGAAAUGGGCCUCCAGAAGGAAUGCCCUGUCCUGCGUGGAAUCAAGGACCGCUCUGAUGAAUUCUAUCAGUCACACUGCCAUGAGGCUCGAUUUCUUUUUGUUCACUAACAGGCCUAGGUAGCAGCAGGUAGAUCACACCAGAUCUAGGUUGCUCUGCACUUGAUCCUGCGAUCUGCCCUUGAUGACUCAAACGUCAAGAUAAGGAUAAACCUGGACUCCCCGAUGCCUCAGAUACUUGCUGAGACUGCCAAGGCCUUGGUGGCAGGGGCAGCCAGAAUUGCUUCCUCACCAAGCAUCCUGUGACACCUUAUAGACUAACAGACAUAUUGGAGCUACCCCUCUGAUACUUCCUCACCAACUGAGACAUAUGCAACCCGAGAGUGGAGGGUGGUCCAAGUGUCCUUCAGACUGUGCAGCCUUGCACCCUAUUUGUUCUGCAAACAGCCCAACUUCAUCAACCAGGAGAUCUUGUGUCAAGGACUACAUCUCCUGUGACAAGCCUGCGGUCUGAAGCCAGAAACUGCACCUCCUCACGUCCACUGCCAAGGCGACCAUCCUGGUCACAUCCCUUAUGUCUGUGCUGCCGCGGCACUGCCUUCAGAGCUGGGCACCUGGCCAACAUCCGCCACUUUCCAGCCACCCAGCUCUGAAGGCAGCAGAGAAGUAAGGGUGGCAAUACUGUGACUCCUCCUAAAAUAACCCUGCAAUCCCAGUGCAACUCCCUUUUGGGUCAGGACCCCCAAUUUGAGAAACACUGGUCUCCCCUGUGAAAUCUGUAUAGUAUAGGGUAAAACACAGGACCAGAUUGCACAGUCUGUGACGCAUUUUUCAUGGCCAUGAAUUUGAUAGGACCUUACGUAUAAGUAUUUGAACCCCUUGGCAGAGACAAAAUAUUUUUUCUCAGUUCUUUUGGAAGUGGGUGGGAUUCAGGACGGGGUCUGCCAGAGGACUUUGGCAAUAUUUAGGACCCCUUCAUGCACUGGCAGAGUGACAAGUGUGGGGGUGGAUGUGGAGAUCACAUUGAACAAAAUGUCUGAUUGCUCCGGCAUCUCUUCUGCCUCUAGGUCAAAGUUAGUGGCUACCCUUUGGAGUAGAGCUUGGUGCUCCUUAAUGUCAUCUAAUGGGCUAACAGGGGAGGGCCCCUCCACUGCUUUGUCUGGAGAGGAGGACAAUGACUAACCACUGGGAGAGGGCCUCAGGCAUCACCCCAUGCAGGGGAAGGGUGUCUCGGGGUGGGGACCUGUCCCUCCACCUCUGCAUCCACUAGCACUUCACACACCAAGCCCAUUGCCACUGGUGUCGAUUGGAGUUUGUCCGAUGUGGCAACUGAUAAUUGGCAAGAUGGGGGCAUCAGCUUAAAGGCAUGCCCCAGGCAUUCCAGUAAGACCACUGAGCUGGACACUGGCCAUGCUGCCAGGAUGGCAUCACUGAGGUGGAUGCAACCUCAAGAGCCCAGUCACGAUAGUGCUGUUUGGGUGAGGAGCUGGACUCCCUCUUCGUGCCAGAGGAAUCCUCCUCUGGUGACCAGGGCUGUUGAGUAGGGAGAGCAGCACUGUGUUGAGGAGCAUCCCCGAGGUCUCAGUGACAGUAAUUGUUGGUGUGGAGAGGGUUGGCACAAAGGUGACUGCUGCCGACUAUAUGGCGACCAGCGCUUCCCUCUGGGUGAGACUUGACACGAGGGCAGAAACCAGGAGCGCAGUCCAGGCAAUCUGUGGCAGCAAACCGGUGACCUGAGCUAAUGAAGAGAUCACGGAUGUGGUGACAAAGGGCACUGCCUCGGCUCUGGAGACCAGCAGUGCUCACUCGCCUUCUGGGAGGCUUUCACGGCUGGCUUGCCCUUGUAGGGAGCCUUUGCUGGUUCCAUUGCUGAUGCGGUGCUGGCUGCGGUGGGAGACUCCUUUGCUCUCUGGGCACUGAGAAGGCGUUGACUCUGACAUCAGUCCGGAUUCCCUACCACUCUCCGAAGUCGGUGGCAGAUCCCUUAGGGGUGUAGGAGAUCCCUUUGGGGAAGUGCCCCCUUUCAGCUCUGGUGUGGGUAGGUGGCCCUGACAGGGUCCUUUGCACAAUGCCCUUGGUCCAUCUUGCUUGGAGUCAGGUCCCACUUCUUGGUCGUCUUCUUGGGCAUCAGCGAAGGGGAUUGGUGUGGGAUAGAGUCUAGUGCUGGGGGCGUGCUAUGCACUGAGGCCAAAGUGUUGGGUGAUGGAGCCGGCCUGGCCAGCUCCGAGGCUGGCCAAAGAACAGCCUCCAUGAGGAGGGCCCUCAAGCAAAUGUCACGUUCUUUCUGUGUCCUGGGACAACAGUUCUUACAGAUGUGACACUUUUAACGUGGGAUUCCCCCAGGCACUUCAGACAGCUACCAUGCAGGUCACUAACAGGCAUAGGCCUACUACAGUCAGUGCAGGGCUUAAAACUCGGUGACCGGGGCAUGUCCUGCCUGGGGCAAAGUCCCUGAUGGAACCCUAACUAACUACAGUACUUAACAGCUACUUACUAACUAAUCUAAAAUAAAACAAAACUAUUUACAGAUGGAACACAAAGUUCGAAAGGGAAAGAAACCACGGAUCACUUGCGAUGCAACUACCAACUACCACGCACAGUAAGAAGGAACUGAGAGAGGGCUUAGGGCUGGUGGUGCCUGAUAUAUUGACACACGAGUGCGGCACUCAAAGAGGUGCCACAGCCAACCCUACAGAUACUGUUAAGGCAAAAGUCUCUGACAACUGUGCAUGUGGGUGCCCAUGCACCUAGAAUGGAAUCAACAUGAGUGAACAUUUGAAGACUGUAUUCCUAUCAAAAAUAAUUUUAAAAAGUUAUAUAAAAUCAAUAUACACCCAAUAGCAUAUUACCAACAGAUAAUAAGAAAGGAGUAAAUUCAAAGCUGAAAUUGGUAGUGUAUGUCAGGUGGGAUGAGUACUGAAAGAUUAUAUAGCAAUGGGGAGCUGGAUGAAUCUCUUUGCUGUUCAUUUCCAAAUUAACAACUGGUUAAGAUUCUCCGUACCUCGGAAAGGAACAUUUUUGGAGGUAUUUGUUAAAACUCUAACUAAAAGUUUUGGUUUGGAUAUGGUCUAUAAAUUCUACAUAUAGACCUCCAUGUUUGACAACAUAGAUAUUCAGAGACCAUUCAGAAACACAAGUCUUGAAUGCUGUUUUCAUAGAGAUAAGAAUUUAGGAUCUAUUUGUAACGAGUAUAUUUGCCAUUCCAGUUGAGGGCAGAGCUUUUAGAUUACAUUUUAGAUUGUAAAGCAAGAAAAUUAAAAAACACGAAGUAGGACGAGUGCUAAUCAGCCUGUCUACAUUCUCUAGUCAAAUCAAACAAGUGUAGCAUUCGCUAUCUUUAAUCAAGUAGGUUAUAUUCACUGUUUUGCGAGAGCAAAAGCAAUUUCCUUUUGAUUGAGAACAGAUGUUACCUGCACAUAGAAGCACCAAGAUUUUUUAACAACUCCCUUAAAAAAAGUAUGAAAUCUAAAUAAAGUGCUUUUUUUUUUUUUAAAGGGGGAAGGACAGGGAAACAAAGAGAAGAGUAAUUAAGGGAUGACAGAACGCAAGUCAUUACACAAAUAUCUCAAAUCAAACUAGUUUAAUGUUUAAACUAGAGAUUUUAAACAUUUUUAUAUUGGACUGGGAGAACUAUCCAGGUUCAUUUACAAAUGGCUGAAUCUUGCAUUUCAUGUUGGGGGUGUGGUUUCUCUCUCCCCCCCCAUUUAAGGCAACUUCAUUACAUUAUUUUAGUCUAGUUUAAGAUACUUUUCCAUAUUUUAUAUUUAACACUCACUAUGACUAUAUUACUGUAUGCCAAAUUCACAGUAUUCACUAAAUAAGCCUCAGUUUGGGAAUCCAUAGACAGAGGUUUGUUAAGAAAUGCUUUAUCGCACACACCCAAGUUGUGAAAUUAUACUUAAAUUGUUGUCAUAUUGCUUCAAAAUAACACUGUCAAUACAUCUAAUCAGUCUUCCACAGAACACUGCCAUAUUCUUAAUUUUACUCUUCAGAUGUUAUGUUGCAAAUUUCCACCAAUGUUGUCCUUUUUGGUUUGUUAAAAGCAAUUUAAAUAGAUUGCGAAGUUAGCAUGACUUGUUUAUUUUUGUGUGGUGCAACAUCUCUGAAUAUAAUCAUACAACACUAGGAAUGAAUUAAACUUGCUAGUUAGUAUGAGCUCCGACAUAUUGGAUUAACUGCAGCAAUGCGCAAGGUAUACUGCCUAGGUUCUACUAUUAAUCUGUUUUCAGUAACAAAUAUAAACAUGAGAAAAGAUUUAGACUGAAACAUACAUUUUCCAUUAGAUUGUAACAUAAUCAACACACAUGACCUAAGUAAGUAUAAAUGUUUAUCCUAUCACUUAAGGCCAUGUAAUUUACUAUAUUGAAUAAGAAACAUUAAAAAACUUAUAGGUAUCAUUUAAUAAAAGUUUUACCUUUUUCAGUGAAAAGUAUGUUGCAAAUUAUGCCUUAAAUGACGUACAGUUUCUGAAAAAUUUAAAUUCUUAUGACCAAAUUGGUCAGUUAUGUCCCAAAUGUAAAGAUGUCUAGUUGAUUGUCCUGCCAAAUGUCUCCAGAAUUAACAGACUGCAGCGAUUAAAAUAAAAGUUUUGCCACUAAUUUUCUAUACAUCAAAUAAGCAAGAAAAACACCGAUAUUAUAUCCUUCCACCUAGACCAUGGUAGAAUAUUUUUAAACAAAGGCCAUAUAAUCAUACACUCAAUACAAAUGAAUUAAUUUCACGAUUUUUAGAGAAGCUAA